GAGAGAGAGAUUGCAUGUGUUGUGUGAGAUUGUGUUAUAAUGAAUCAUUAACUGAAAGACUAAAGGAGUUUUGUGAUAGAAUGACAUUUGAAAGAAUAUGAAAGGACACACAUUCACUCACAGACACAUCCUGAACUCGUUCUCCAAUCCCUCCCUUCCUGAUUUCCUCCCUACGUUCCUUCACACUCUCUCUCCCCGAUUGACUCAUUUGCUUGUGAGGGAUUAAGCAGGAUAGAGAGGGAUUACACUUCUUUUUCCCAAGAGGACUUUUCCGUGCUCUGCUAUGGAAUACUAUUCACGUUAUUCCUCUGUUUAUACCAUUAUAUCUGAGUGAGUUAAAACUGACCAUCAUCAUGCAAACCCUCUUCAGAAACUCUUCGGUGUGUUAAAUUGGAUCCAAACAGAAAGACAAACUGACCGUGAGGGAAGAGGGAGCUGUAUAUGAGGAGGGUCAGUGCAUCAUUUAUUUGUUCCUGAACCCCCAAACACUCCAGGAUUGACAAUGAGACCAGAUGUGGAGACUGAGUCAGCUCCACUGGAGAUGGGAGAAAAAGGCCUGACACAGAUCUUGGCACAUGUGAUUGCUGAAGUGAGGGGCUCUGUCAAUAAAGAUAUAAAUGGAGCUGAACUAUUGCACAGUCUCCUCAAUGCCCCCUGGUUGCAGUCCCUACUAAAGGUGUAUGAAUGUCUACAGAGGCACCUAAAGGGUCCAGCUAGGCCAUAUCUUAACUAUUCGUCUGGACUCUCUCUACAGAUUCUGUCUGACCUGCUGGCAGUCCCAAAACCUUCAAAUGAAGCUCGAGAACUAUAUGCCCUCCUAAGUCAUCCCCACCUACAGGCUCUCCUUUCUGCUCAUGACACAGUAAGUUUGAGAGACUAUGAGCCAGAUCUGCCACCAUUGCCUAAAGACCUGCCUGAAGAUGAGGAAGCCAUGAGGAUUGUUUGCUUGGUCAAAAACAAUCAGCCUCUGACGGGAGCUGGUAGAGAGUUUCAAAGCCACUGGGACACUUUAAGGCAAGCAACCCACUGUAGACUCUUCUCAGCUGGGGGACGGCUGGCUGGAGGCUUAGAUGCCAUGUUGGAAGGUCCCAGGGUGGGUGGUUCAACAUCCAGCAAGAAUCCUGCAUCCCGAAGCAUUGUUGCUCCCACCCCAACACACCACUGCAACACUUUAGGCCACAACAGUAUAUUAUGGAAACAGAGCCUCAGUUCCUCCACCACUUGUGUCUGUAGCUCUGUUUUGAUUGACAAUUUGAUUGAGGAUUUAGACAGUGGGGAUGAGAGUAAUGGCAGUUCUAUGCUACAUAAAUUUUCCCAACCAUCCCCAUGGAUUUCCUCAACAUCUUGCUGCUUUCAUGCUUCAAAUCCUCCUCCAAAACAUCCUCCCCCUCAUUCCCAAACUGCUCCCCCAAGCCCAAUGCACUGUCAUCAGGUAAGGGAGACCAUCACAUGCUCUCAUACAAGGCCGGAAAAGGAGGAAGGUCUGAAUGAAUUGCGGAAUACAUUGCAGCAGGCCACCAGCUGCAUGGAGCGCAAUUCUGAAAACGUCCACCUGCUUGGUGAGAGGAUGGCUGCUGCUACCGAAUGCAUAUCUGAGAGUGUGCAAGAGAAUUCUCAAGCUUUGGCGAUGUUAACGCAUGUAGUGGAGAAGCUUCAAGAGUUAGUCUCCACAAGCAACACAAUUUCAGAAUCACCACAUGACACCGAGACUGCAAGUAGAGUGGUUAACCGGAUGGGUAGCAGAUCGCUCAGUGUUCCCACCAGUCCAGCUAUUGCCUCAUCCUCUCGCAUUUCUCAUUGUCCUUCCAGCUCCUCUUCCUCCUCCUCUUCUUCUUCAUCUGCCAUCUCUUUUCUGGAGCAGCCAAUGCUAUCAAAUGGGAAAUCCUUUAAUCCCAAAACAAAGACAUCACAAUCUCCUCAACGGACACAGCUUGAUGACCAGCACCAGAUGACCAAUGGCUCCUUGAGGUCCAGUCCUGCCCAAAACCACAAAGUGAACAGCAGCGCAUUUAGAUGUUUCUUAAGCCAGAAGAAAAAGAAAAACAAGAAAAAGGAAUAAAGCCACUUCCACGUUUCCACAGUUAUGAAACAUCCUUUCAUAUUCUUGCUGUCUCAAGCAUGCAGGUCUUUCAAAUCUUUAAUAUGUGUGUAUUCAUCUAAUAUGUCACCACCGGUCCUUGAUGUUACCAUUGUCACAUUAGUGCAUGUCCAACCUAUUUGGAAGUGAUGUUUUGUUUUGUUUGGUAUUUUAUUGGACAUUUUCAUUGGUUCAAACAUCACCAUGACUGUCCGUUCUCAUAUUAUCAUUUCUCUUCUUAGUUAUUUGAUUAUUCUUUUGAUUUUUUUUAAGAUCUUCUUUCUCUUCCUGUAGCAUUGCAGUUCAGUUUGUCAUUAAAUAUUGUUCCUGGCAUGCCACUUCCAUCAGAUGUUUGAUGAAUGUAUGUUUUGUGCUUGAUUCAUAUCAAAUGAAGCCUUGUAGAUAUUUAGAUUGAUAUCUGUUUUCUUCUAACAUAUAGGGAGCAACAAUCAGGAGAGAUGAUGUGACAGGGGAAAUAUACAUUGCUCGGGUUAUACAUGGAGGACUGGUUGACCGCAGUGGUCUUUUGCAUGCUGGAGAUAGGCUGGUGGAGGUAAACGGUCAACCCGUGUUUGGACUGGAACCAGA